AUACGGAGGGUGCAAGCGUUAAUCGGAAUUACUUGGCGUAAAGCGUACGUAGGCGGUUCGUUAAUUUAGAUGUGAAAGCCCCGGGCUUAACCUGGGAACUGCAUUUAAAACUGGCGAACUAGAGUUGAGUAGAGGGGAGUGGAAUUUCAGGUGUAGCGGUGAAAUGCGUAGAGAUCUGAAGGAACACCAGUGGCGAAGGCGGCUCCCUGGACUCAAACUGACGCUGAGGUACGAAAGCGUGGGUAGCAAACGGGAUUAGAAACCCUGGUAGUCC
rnacentral:rRNA from 1 species